rnacentral:snRNA from 1 species
AAUCUGUCAGUAAACCUCGGAAA